rnacentral:rRNA from 1 species
CCUGGCUCAGAUUGAACGCUGGCGGCAUGCCUUACACAUGCAAGUCGAACGGUAACGCGGGGCAACCUGGCGACGAGUGGCGAACGGGUGAGUAAUGCAUCGGAACGUGCCCAGUAGUGGGGGAUAGCCCGGCGAAAGCCGGAUUAAUACCGCAUACGACCUACGGGUGAAAGGGGGGGAUCGCAAGACCUCUCGCUAUUGGAGCGGCCGAUGUCAGAUUAGGUAGUUGGUGGGGUAAAGGCCCACCAAGCCGACGAUCUGUAGCUGGUCUGAGAGGACGACCAGCCACACUGGGACUGAGACACGGCCCAGACUCCUACGGGAGGCAGCAGUGGGGAAUUUUGGACAAUGGGCGCAAGCCUGAUCCAGCCAUGCCGCGUGCGGGAAGAAGGCCUUCGGGUUGUAAACCGCUUUUGUCAGGGAAGAAACGCUCUGGGUUAAUACCCCGGGGUAAUGACGGUACCUGAAGAAUAAGCACCGGCUAACUACGUGCCAGCAGCCGCGGUAAUACGUAGGGUGCAAGCGUUAAUCGGAAUUACUGGGCGUAAAGCGUGCGCAGGCGGUUGUGCAAGACAGAUGUGAAAUCCCCGGGCUCAACCUGGGAACUGCAUUUGUGACUGCAUAGCUAGAGUACGGUAGAGGGGGAUGGAAUUCCGCGUGUAGCAGUGAAAUGCGUAGAUAUGCGGAGGAACACCGAUGGCGAAGGCAAUCCCCUGGACCUGUACUGACGCUCAUGCACGAAAGCGUGGGGAGCAAACAGGAUUAGAUACCCUGGUAGUCCACGCCCUAAACGAUGUCAACUGGUUGUUGGGAGGGUUUCUUCUCAGUAACGAAGCUAACGCGCGAAGUUGACCGCCUGGGGAGUACAGCCGCAAGGUUGAAACUCAAAGGAAUUGACGGGGAAGCGGUGGAUGAUGUGGUUUAAUUCGAUGCAACGCGAAAAACCUUACCUACCCUUGACAUGUCUGAAAUCCUGGAGAGAUCCGGGAGUGCUCGAAAGAGAAUCAGAACACAGGUGCUGCAUGGCCGUCGUCAGCUCGUGUCGUGAGAUGUUGGGUUAAGUCCCGCAACGAGCGCAACCCUUGUCAUCAGUUGCUACGAAAGGGCACUCUGAUGAGACUGCCGGUGACAAACCGGAGGAAGGUGGGGAUGACGUCAGGUCCUCAUGGCCCUUAUGGGUAGGGCUACACACGUCAUACAAUGGCCGGUACAGAGGGCUGCCAACCCGCGAGGGGGAGCCAAUCCCAGAAAACCGGUCGUAGUCCGGAUCGCAGUCUGCAACUCGACUGCGUGAAGUCGGAAUCGCUAGUAAUCGCGGAUCAGCUUGCCGCGGUGAAUACGUUCCCGGGUCUUGUACACACCGCCCGUCACACCAUGGGAGCGGGUCUCGCCAGAAGUAGUUAGCCUAACCGCAAGGAGGGCGAUUACCACGGCGGGGUUCGUGACUGGGGUGAAGUCGAAACAAGGUAGCCGUA